rnacentral:lncRNA from 1 species
GCCGCGGAGCUUCCCGAACCUCUUCAGCCGCCCGGAGCCGCUCCCGGAGCCCGGCCGUAGAGGCUGCAAUCGCAGCCGGGAGCCCGCAGCCCGCGCCCCGAGCCCGCCGCCGCCCUUCGAGGGCGCCCCAGGCCGCGCCAUGGUGAAGGUGACGUUCAACUCCGCUCUGGCCCAGAAGGAGGCCAAGAAGGACGAGCCCAAGAGCGGCGAGGAGGCGCUCAUCAUCCCCCCCGACGCCGUCGCGGUGGACUGCAAGAUGAUGUGGUACCAGUUGGCCAAAGAAGAGCCUGGUGUUGGUGCAUGUGCUUUGGACUAGCAUUUAUGCUUGCAGGUGUUAUUCUAGGAGGAGCAUACUUGUACAAAUAUUUUGCACUUCAACCAGAUGACGUGUACUACUGUGGAAUAAAGUACAUCAAAGAUGAUGUCAUCUUAAAUGAGCCCUCUGCAGAUGCCCCAGCUGCUCUCUACCAGACAAUUGAAGAAAAUAUUAAAAUCUUUGAAGAAGAAGAAGUUGAAUUUAUCAGUGUGCCUGUCCCAGAGUUUGCAGAUAGUGAUCCUGCCAACAUUGUUCAUGACUUUAACAAGAAACUUACAGCCUAUUUAGAUCUUAACCUGGAUAAGUGCUAUGUGAUCCCUCUGAACACUUCCAUUGUUAUGCCACCCAGAAACCUACUGGAGUUACUUAUUAACAUCAAGGCUGGAACCUAUUUGCCUCAGUCCUAUCUGAUUCAUGAGCACAUGGUUAUUACUGAUCGCAUUGAAAACAUUGAUCACCUGGGUUUCUUUAUUUAUCGACUGUGUCAUGACAAGGAAACUUACAAACUGCAACGCAGAGAAACUAUUAAAGGUAUUCAGAAACGUGAAGCCAGCAAUUGUUUCGCAAUUCGGCAUUUUGAAAACAAAUUUGCCGUGGAAACUUUAAUUUGUUCUUGAACAGUCAAGAAAAACAUUAUUGAGGAAAAUUAAUAUCACAGCAUAACCCCACCCUUUACAUUUUGUGCAGUGAUUAUUUUUUAAAGUCUUCUUUCAUGUAAGUAGCAAACAGGGCUUUACUAUCUUUUCAUCUCAUUAAUUCAAUUAAAACCAUUACCUUAAAAUUUUUUUCUUUCGAAGUGUGGUGUCUUUUAUAUUUGAAUUAGUAACUGUAUGAAGUCAUAGAUAAUAGUACAUGUCACCUUAGGUAGUAGGAAGAAUUACAAUUUCUUUAAAUCAUUUAUCUGGAUUUUUAUGUUUUAUUAGCAUUUUCAAGAAGACGGAUUAUCUAGAGAAUAAUCAUAUAUAUGCAUACGUAAAAAUGGACCACAGUGACUUAUUUGUAGUUGUUAGUUGCCCUGCUACCUAGUUUGUUAGUGCAUUUGAGCACACAUUUUAAUUUUCCUCUAAUUAAAAUGUGCAGUAUUUUCAGUGUCAAAUAUAUUUAACUAUUUAGAGAAUGAUUUCCACCUUUAUGUUUUAAUAUCCUAGGCAUCUGCUGUAAUAAUAUUUUAGAAAAUGUUUGGAAUUUAAGAAAUAACUUGUGUUACUAAUUUGUAUAACCCAUAUCUGUGCAAUGGAAUAUAAAUAUCACAA